GGCGGACGGGUGAGUAAUAUAUAGGUAAUGUGCCCUAGAGAAGAGGAUAACAGUUGGAAACGACUGCUAAUACUCUAUAUGCCUUUAAGACAAAAGUCUGCAAGGGAAAUAUUUAUAGCUCUAGGAUCGGCCUGUACGGUAUCAGCUAGUUGGUGAGGUAAUGGCUCACCAAGGCAAUGACGCCUAACUGGUUUGAGAGGAUGAUCAGUCACACUGGAACUGAGACACGGUCCAGACUCCUACGGGAGGCAGCAGUGGGGAAUAUUGCACAAUGGGGGAAACCCUGAUGCAGCAACGCCGCGUGGAGGAUGACACAUUUCGGUGCGUAAACUCCUUUUAUAUAGGAAGAUAAUGACGGUACUAUAUGAAUAAGCGCCGGCUAACUCCGUGCCAGCAGCCGCGGUAAUACGGAGGGCGCAAGCGUUACUCGGAAUCACUGGGCGUAAAGAGCGUGUAGGCGGGUUAAUAAGUUUGAAGUGAAAUCCUAUGGCUCAACCAUAGAACUGCUUUGAAAACUGUUAACCUAGAAUAUGGGAGAGGUAGAUGGAAUUUCUGGUGUAGGGGUAAAAUCCGUAGAGAUCAGAAGGAAUACCGAUUGCGAAGGCGAUCUACUGGAACAUUAUUGACGCUGAGACGCGAAAGCGUGGGGAGCAAACAGGAUUAGAUACCCUGGUAGUCCACGCCCUAAACGAUGUACACUAGUUGUUGUGAGGCUAGACCUUGCAGUAAUGCAGUAAACACAUUAAGUG
rnacentral:rRNA from 1 species